UACGGAGGGUGCGAGCGUUGUCCGGAAUCAUUGGGCGUAAAGGGCGCGUAGGUGGCUUCUCAAGCGUGCGGUGAAAGCCUGGGGCUCAACCCCGGGUCGGCCGUGCGAACUGGGGGGCUUGAGCACUGUAGAGGCAGGCGGAAUUCCGGGUGUAGCGGUGGAAUGCGUAGAGAUCCGGAAGAACACCGGUGGCGAAGGCGGCUCUCUGGACCGAGACUGACGCUGAGGCGCGAAAGCGUGGGGAGCAAACAGG
rnacentral:rRNA from 1 species